GGGGUUGUGGCUCAGAGAUAGAACACUCACCUAGCAUGUGUGAGGCCCUGGGUUCGAUCCUUAGCACCUCA
rnacentral:tRNA from 1 species